rnacentral:rRNA from 1 species
AUUGAACGCUGGCGGCAGGCCUAACACAUGCAAGUCGAACGAGUGGCGGACGGGUGAGUAAUGUCUGGGCACCUGCCUGACGGAGGGGGAUAACUACUGGAACCGGUAGCUAAUACCGCCUACCAUCGGAUGUGCCCAGACGGGAUUAGCUAGUCGGUGGGGUAACGGCUCACCUAAGCGACGAUCCCUAGCUGGUCUGAGAGGAUGACCAGCCACACUGGAACUGAGACACGGUCCAGACUCCUACGGGAGGCAGCAGUGGGGAAUAUUUGACAAUGGGCGCAAGCCUGAUGCAGCCAUGCCGCGUGUGUGAAGAAGGCCUUCGGGUUGUAAAGUACUUUCAGCGGUGAGGCGUUACCCGCAGAAGAAGCACCGGCUAACUCCGUGCCAGCAGCCGCGGUAAUUC